rnacentral:rRNA from 1 species
UACGUAGGGUGCGAGCGUUAAUCGGAAUUACUGGGCGUAAAGCGUGCGCAGGCGGUCUGUUAAGACCGAUGUGAAAGCCCCGGGCUUAACCUGGGAACUGCAUUUGAUACUGCGUGGCUAGAGGAUGAGAGAGGAAAGUGGAAUUACGAGUGUAGAGGUGAAAUUCGUAGAUAUUCGUAAGAACACCAGUGGCGAAGGCGGCUUUCUGGCUCAUUACUGAUGCUAAGGCGCGAAAGCGUGGGGAGCAAACAGG